CGGACAUAGCUGGAAGAAAGUAAGAGUCCAUUCCAUUUAAUUGUCUUGUUCUUUUAUUUUUCUAUAUUGAGAGAUUCGGGCUUCGUCUUUUUAUACUCUCUACACCAGAUUUUUUUUUUUUUGGGGCCAAAACAUAACCUGUAUUUGAAAGAAACAACAGAUAUAAUCUCGUUUUUGAUUUAUCAUCGAUAGAUGGUGAUAAGUUUAAAAUAGUUAUGUUUCUGGUGUGAUCGUUUUUGUUAUGUGAAGUGUUCCUAAUACCAAAACUUG
rnacentral:lncRNA from 1 species